CUUCUUCUUCUUCUUCUUCUUUUUUUUUUUCCUGAAUCACAGGUUCCUUAUCUAUCUUAUAUCUAACCUGUGGACAGUAAUCCCUCUUAGAAGCUUGUAGGGAGAUCUGUUAACCAGUGGUUGUUAACUAAAGCUGAAUCCAGGCCUUGUGAGGCUUGCUGCAGAUACGUGUUCCGUCUUGUGAUGUAGGAAGUAGGGAAGGGCAGAACACGUUCCUUCAUCCCCUGCCCCAUCACUCUGCCUCUUUGUGAGGAAGGUCCAGCUUUACACGGAAGCCUCUGGUCCUUCCCUAGCCAUCUCCCAGCAGUUGGAUUUGGACUUCCCUUUGCAGCAGGAGAGAUUAGUCUGCUCACUCAAGGCUUUUUGAGGAAGACAGAUACGGAUAAGCUGCUCUUAAUGCCAAAUCCAGACCGCGAGGAAGGACUAGCUUGUGCCCUGGCUGAGAUGAGAGCAGAGCCCUAGGGAUGGCAGCUUUGGUAGAGAGGAGGCUAGAGGAGGAGAGCUUGCCCUCACAGGAUACUCCACAAAACCGUGGGUUUAGGGUGGAGGCCAAGGUGGGAUCCUCGGAGCCAAGACUUAUCAGACACUGGCACAGAUCACCUAUUUCGGAACAGAGCAGAGGUACUUGUAGCUUCCACCUGAGCAGCUAGCUAUUACAGCCCAUUGUUCACUGCUGCACCUUGGGUUUCUAAGCUGUGAAGCUGGGAUGGCUUGGAGGAUGUACUUUCCAGUCUCAGCCUGGCAGCUACUUAGUCAGCCAAACUCACUGUCUUAGGCUGCAUAGUAGAUCCUUCAGAGCGAUCCCUGCAGAGGCUGUUUGUGAAUUCACAGUGUGGGUGGCAAGCAGAUCCUGUUGUGGAGUAGCUAUAACUGCACACGAUGUGUGGGUCUAGUCACAGGGCUUCCUUUGGGGGCCUUAAAGGUUCUGAGAAGGGUGUGUCCUUGCUGUUAUGGGGCCCGUGACAUAAAGGUUCCUCCUGGCUUUCAGGCCCAGUCAUCCUCUCCAAGUUCUAAUCCUACAAGUGUAUGGUCUGGUACUCAUGCUUUGAGAGGAGAGGGCCAUAGUCCAUUGUAGCUGUUAGGAGUAGGGGGAAAAUGAAACAAAACUGAAAACUUAAAAAAAAUGUCACCAAGGCAAGGCAAGAGCACUUCUAUUUUAAAACUGAAUACUCUACAGUAGUUAAAAAGGUAAAAUGAUCCUUAAUGUACCAACACAGAAAGCAGCGUCAUCAGAGAGGAGAAACAAAUUGUAUGGUAAUGGAUGCCAUGGAUACACAGCAGAGGCAUAUCCCACUCCUUCCGUCUGUACUCUUGUCUGUAUUUACAGGCAAAGUUGCAAGGAGCUGAACGCAGGAGCAUGAGGUGCUGAUGGGGCAAGCAUCCCUGUGGUGAUUCUACACUUUUUGUUUGGUUUGACACAUUUAGACUCAGACUGUAUUCACAGAUCACUUGCAUAAUUAACUUUCAAAAAAAAAAAAAAGAGCCCAAUCUGUGUGAGAAGAAGAGAACGGAGUGAAAAUGGGGUAGAUGAGAGUAGGUAACACGGAAUGCAGGACCCACAGCCUGUGCUGAAGAGACAGACAGAUUGUCAGGCGUCAGCUUUAUUGCAAACACAGCCUGAGGACAAUCCUCUGGUAAUGGGGCAGAUACCCUGCUACCUCAACAUCUCCUUUAUGCCGGGACUGGACAGUGCAGGUCUGAGCUUUGGAGCAGUUUCUCUGCCUGGCAAGCUAUAAGUGUAAAUAAGUUUGGUUCAGAGAUCUGAGUAAGAGGGGUUGGUGUUUGGGGAAUGGAGUCCAGGAUAGGAGAGCCAAUUCCUCUGAGAGCAUUGCCAGACUCUCUGGUCUCUUGAGAUCUUCCCAGGCGUGUGGCCUGAAGUAAGAAACUACUCAAGUGGCCCAGGGAAUCUUUGAGUGAGCUGUGACAUCACCCCAAGCUCUCAUCUUUCUACCCCUUUCCACUGCUCAUUGCUGAUCUUCUGCCCUUCAAGGGCCCCCGCACUCUCUCUUCUCUCUGCAGUUAAACCAUUGGACUGAGCAGAAUAGAGCCCCAGUCUGUCAGAGAGAAAAGGAACUUUGGAAACCAUCUGGCCUCGAGUGGGGACAGAGAAAUAACAUACUUGGAGAGAAACUGAUGACCUAGGCUCCUCCUCUUCCUCACAGCUGGAGGUGGCCCUCCUCUGUUGGCACACCCUGACCUGCCUGUGCUCUGGCACUCUGCUAGCCUGGGCUUGCUUGUCUUUAUAUAGCCACUUAACCUUUUCAGGCUGCCCGUUUCUAUUUACUCACCCUUCUAUUUGCCAAUUUCAUGUCUUGUGUCUUUGAACAGACUGCCAUCCUAUGAGAGUGGAGACAUCAUCUUUAUAUCUCUCAGAUUAGGUGGAAGGCUGAGAGGCCAAAAGCAUACC
rnacentral:lncRNA from 1 species